rnacentral:rRNA from 1 species
GUACACUCCUGCGGGAGGCAGCAGUGGGGAAUAUUGGACAAUGGGCGCAAGCCUGAUCCAGCCAUGCCGCGUGAGUGAUGAAGGCCCUAGGGUUGUAAAGCUCUUUCACCGGUGAAGAUAAUGACGGUAACCGGAGAAGAAGCCCCGGCUAACUUCGUGCCAGCAGCCGCGGUAAUACGCAGGGGGCUAGCGUUGUUCGGAUUUACUGGGCGUAAAGCGCACGUAGGCGGACUAUUAAGUCAGGGGUGAAAUCCCGGGGCUCAACCCCGGAACUGCCUUUGAUACUGGUAGUCUUGAGUUCGAGAGAGGUGAGUGGAAUUCCGAGUGUAGAGGUGAAAUUCGUAGAUAUUCGGAGGAACACCAGUGGCGAAGGCGGCUCACUGGCUCGAUACUGACGCUGAGGUGCGAAAGCGUGGGGAGCAAACAGGAUGAGAAACCCGUGUAGUCCCAUGAU